AAGGGAGACCUAAUUCCGGUAGGAGACGAAAAAAAAGUAGUCCCUACCAAGAAUCAAUCCCAAAAGGUCGAAGCGAGGCAAGAUUGGCUUUCAAACUAGGUUCUGGGUUCAAACAAGACCUGAAUCAGGAACAAGGGCUAUUAGCUCAGGUGGUUAGAGCGCACCCCUGAUAAGGGUGAGGUCCCUGGUUCGAGUCCAGGAUGGCCCACCUGCACAGGUGGCAAAAACAAAGAAGCGAGGAAUCAGCACCUUAUCUUACUCAUAUAGUAAGAGAGAAUGCUGGCUCUGAGUAAAGAGUCCAGAGGAACCUUGAAAACUGCAUAGAGCUAGGUGAAAAAGCCAAAAAAGAAGACCGCAA
rnacentral:tRNA from 1 species